AACGUACGCUGGCGGCACGCCUAACACAUGCAAGUCGAACGAAGUAGCAAUACUUAGUGGCAGACGGGUGAGUAACAUGUAGGUAUCUGCCCUUUGGCCUGGAAUAACACGAGGAAACUUGUGCUAAUACCGGAUAAGUCUUUACGGAGAAAGCUUUAUGCACCAUUGGAUGAGCCUGCACUUGAUUAGUUUGUUGGUGGGGUAAUGGCCUACCAAGACUGUGAUCAAUAGCUGAUUUGAGAGGAUGAUCAGCCACAUUGGGACUGAGACACGGCCCAAACUCCUACGGGAGGCAGCAGUGGGGAAUCUUGCACAAUGGAGGAAACUCUGAUGCAGCGAUGCCGCGUGAGUGAAGAAGGCCCUUGGGUUGUAAAGCUCUUUCGUCGGGGAAGAAAAUGACUGUACCCGAAUAAGAAGGUCCGGCUAACUUCGUGCCAGCAGCCGCGGUAAUACGAAGGGACCUAGCGUAGUUCGGAAUUACUGGGCUUAAAGAGUUCGUAGGUGGUUGAAAAAGUUAGUGGUGAAAUCCCAGAGCUUAACUCUGGAACUGCCAUUAAAACUUUUCAGCUAGAGUAUGAUAGAGGAAAGCAGAAUUUCUAGUGUAGAGGUGAAAUUCGUAGAUAUUAGAAAGAAUACCAAUUGCGAAGGCAGCUUUCUGGAUCAUUACUGACACUGAGGAACGAAAGCAUGGGUAGCGAAGAGGAUUAGAUACCCUCGUAGUCCAUGCCGUAAACGAUGUGUGUUAGACGUUGGAAAUUUAUUUUCAGUGUCGCAGGGAAACCGAUAAACACACCGCCUGGGGAGUACGACCGCAAGGUUAAAACUCAAAUGAAUUGACGGGGACCCGCACAAGUAGUGGAGCAUGUGGUUUAAUUCGAAGAUACGCGCAGAACCUUACCAACACUUGACAUGUUCGUCGCGACUCUAAGAGAUUAGAGUUUUCGGCUCGGCCGGACGAAACACAGGUGCUGCAUGGCUGUCGUCAGCUCGUGUCGUGAGAUAUUGGGUUAAGUCCCGCAACGAGCGCAACCCUCACUUUUAGUUGCCAUCAUUAAGUUGGGCACUCUGAAAGAACUGCCAGUGAUAAGCUGGAGGAAGGUGGGGAUGACGUCAAGUCCUCAUGGCCCUUACGUGUUGGGCUACACACGUGCUACAAUGGUAUCUACAACAGGAAGCAAGACUGCGAAGUUAAGCAAAUCCCUAAAAGAUACCUCAGUUCGGAUUGCACUCUGCAACUCGAGUGCAUGAAGCUGGAAUUACUAGUAAUCGUGGAUCAGCGUGCCACGGUGAAUGCGUUCCCGGGUCU
rnacentral:rRNA from 1 species